GAUGAACGCUAGCGGGAGGCCUAACACAUGCAAGCCGAGCGGUAUUGUUUCUUCGGAAAUGAGAGAGCGGCGUACGGGUGCGGAACACGUGUGCAACCUGCCUUUAUCUGGGGGAUAGCCUUUCGAAAGGAAGAUUAAUACUCCAUAAUAUAUUGAACGGCAUCGUUUAAUAUUGAAAGCUCCGGCGGAUAGAGAUGGGCACGCGCAAGAUUAGCUAGUUGGUGAGGUAACGGCUCACCAAGGCGAUGAUCUUUAGGGGGCCUGAGAGGGUGAUCCCCCACACUGGAACUGAGACACGGACCAGACUCCUACGGGAGGCAGCAGUGAGGAAUAUUGGUCAAUGGGUGCAAGCCUGAACCAGCCAUCCCGCGUGAAGGACGACUGCCCUAUGGGUUGUAAACUUCUUUUGUAUAGGGAUAAACCUACCCUCGUGAGGGUAGCUGAAGGUACUAUACGAAUAAGUACCGGCUAACUCCGUGCCAGCAGCCGCCGUAACAC
rnacentral:rRNA from 1 species